rnacentral:rRNA from 1 species
AACGUUGGCGGCAUGGAUUAGGCAUGCAAGUCGAACGAAUCCCAAGGAGCAAUCUGAGGGGGAAGUGGCGAAAGGGGCAGUAAUACCUGGAUAACCUACCCUGGGGAUGGGCAUAGCCGUUCUAACGAGCGGGUAAUACCCAGCGAUUCGGCGAGUUGGCAUCAAUUUGCCGGGAAAUGAAUUUCGCCUCGGGAGGGGUCCAGGAGCUAUCAGCUAGUUGGCGGGGUAACGGCCCACCAAGGCUUAGACGGCUAGCGGGUGUGAGAGCACGACCCGCGCCACUGGCACUGAGACACUGGCCAGACACCUACGGGUGGCUGCAGUCGAGGAUCUUCGUCAAUGGGCGCAAGCCUGAACGAGCGAUGCCGCGUGAGCGAUGAAGGCCUUCGGGUUGUAAAGCUCAAAAGAGAUGAGAAAGGGAAACUUGAUCGAAUCUCAGUAAGCUCGGGCUAAGUUCGUGCCAGCAGCCGCGGUAAGACGAACCGAGCGAACGUUGUUCGGAAUCACUGGGCUUAAAGGGCGCGUAGGCGGAUUCUCAAGUCCGGGGUGAAAUCCCACAGCUCAACUGUGGAACUGCCUCGGAUACUGGGGGUCUCGAGGGUGGCAGGGGUAUGCGGAACUAUCGGUGGAGCGGUGAAAUGCGUUGAUAUCGAUAGGAACUCCGGUGGCGAAGGCGGCAUACUGGUCCACUUCUGACGCUGAGGCGCGAAAGCCAGGGGAGCAAACGGGAUUAGAUACCCCGGUAGUCCUGGCCCUAAACGAUGGGUACUAGCUAGUAGGGUUCACAUGGCUUUACUGGCGAAGCAAAAGUGCUAAGUACCCCGCCUGGGGAGUAUGGUCGCAAGGCU